ensembl:miRNA Mir7013 microRNA 7013
UUCGGUAUGAAGAGGCCAGUAUUGUAGCUUGAGAUCCAGCCUAAGCCACACUUACUGUUGCCUCUUCCUUAG